rnacentral:rRNA from 1 species
UACGGAGGGUGCGAGCGUUGUUCGGAAUCACUGGGCGUAAAGCGCGUGUAGGCGGCCCACUAAGUCUGAUGUGAAAGCCCGGGGCUCACCCCCGGAAGUGCAUUGGAAACUGGUGGACUCGAGUCCCGGAGAGGGGAGUGGAAUUCCUGGUGUAGCGGUGAAAUGCGUAGAUAUCAGGAGGAACACCGGUGGCGAAGGCGGCUCUCUGGACGGUGACUGACGCUGAGACGCGAAAGCGUGGGGAGCAAACAGG